rnacentral:rRNA from 1 species
GACGUAGGAGGCGAGCGUUGUCCGGAUUCAUUGGGCGUAAAGAGCGCGCAGGCGGCUUGGUAAGUCGGAUGUGAAAACCCGAGGCUCAACCUCGGGCGUGCAUCCGAAACUGCUCGGCUAGAGGUAGGUAGGGGAGAUCGGAAUUCCUGGUGUAGCGGUGAAAUGCGCAGAUAUCAGGAGGAACACCGGUGGCGAAGGCGGAUCUCUGGGCCUUACCUGACACUCAGGCGCGAAAGCUAGGGGAGCGAACUGG